CUUUGUCUCUUCCUUAAUAUAGGGGGAAGUAGCUUAUGUACAAGUAAAAGAAGAUGGUGGAGGGCGAUCUCGUUCACGAAGCAGAAGUUACUCGCCAAGACGCACUAGAGGUUCUCCUACGUAUUCACCUGCUCGGCGCUCAAGAUCACGAUCUCGGUCACAUUCAAGGUCUCGAUCCAUGUCUAGGUCAAGAUCACGCUCCAAUUAAUGAGAAAAACAAUACAUGGGAAGGAUCCCUAUGGAUAGCCAGAAUCCUUGGCUGUACUGUAAGGAAUAAAGUUGAUUGUAUAAUGGAGUUACACCUGUAACAUGGAUGUAGCUGGGAACAGAAAGUCUACAGUUUUCUGUUGUGGUCCUUGGAUGUACUAUAAAGAAUAAAAUGGAUUUUUUAAGGAACCUAA